rnacentral:tRNA from 1 species
GCGGAUUUAGCUCAUUUGGUAGAGCGCCACCUUGCCAAGGGGGAGGUGGCGGGUUCGAGCCCCGUAAUCCGCUCCA